CCCAGCACUUGCAUAUGUUUCUUCCUCUACUGAUUUAGUUUCAAUUUUAAAAACUUUGCAGUAGUAGUCAAUAAAAUUUCUUUACUUUAUUCAAACCAAGAUCAUUUCCAGAUUAUUUGACCGCUCUCUCGUUAACUUUGAUUGAUCUGUUCUUUCUUGACCUUGCUCCGUUUGUCUGUUGAAUAAUUUAUUAUCUCAUUUCUCUUCUUCACCUUCCCACAAGGAAAAAAAAUUCAAGGAAAGAAAUACUUGCUGCUUGCUCUGCAGUUGGCGAGAUCUGUUUCUCCCUUAAAAUUUGAGAGUGAAACUAAGGAAAAAUCCCUGCACAACAGAUGGACGUGGCCUCCACUUGCAGCGUCGAUCGUGUCUUCCUUGAUCUAAAGUUGCUUGUGGACAACCUCAACGUCAUGUACCGCAAAAUUGGAAAUGCGUACGUGGGUGUAACAUUUCUCAAAAUUGAAGCUGCGUACCUGGAUAUAACAUUUCUCAAAACAUUUGUUAUGUGUGCAAGAAAGUGGAGCUACAGCAAUGAUUUGCACUUGGAAACUGAGAUUGUUGGGAAUAAGGUAAGUCUUCCAUCCUUUUUAUCUUGCAUUGAAGAUACCGUUCACCAAUAUGAGGAGGACAUUCACUCUCUUCGCCUUAUGUUGGAAUCUGAUGCAAUUGGCAUGAAAGAUGUUGGCGAUGAAGUGUUUUUUAAAUUUUUGAAACAGAUCAAAUCAUUUAAGCAAGAAAUCAUUCAAGUUUACUUUACUUUGGAAAGCAGCAGAUCAUUGGAAUCAAAUUCUUGCAUGCCAGUUGAUGAACUAAUGGAAUUUAUAGACCUCAUUCUACAAAAUCUAGUGGAUUUAACAACUAUCGAUUUGUGUAUUGUUGAAAUGGAUCCCCAAGUUAGUGCUCAAGUCCAAGCCCUUGAAGCAAAGCUAACAUUCUUGAAAAGCUCAAUUCCAUUUGCCAAAUUGCGAGGAACUGUAGAUAUUCCUGCCUUGCUGUUGGCUCACUUUGAAGUGGUGGCUUUGAACGCAGCACGCCUCUCUUACAUGUGUUCUUGUUGGGAUGAUGAGUUCUGCAAUCCUGAGUUCUGCUCCAUGAUAUAUGAGCAACAACAGAAAAUCACACCUAUUGAUUUUCAAGUCUAUGAGAUUUAUAUGGAAGUUCUUAGAGCUACAAGAUCCUCAAUAUCAUUGCAUAAUAGAAUGAUGGAUAAGCAGAUAUUGAACAACUUCAAUGAUUCUCUCAUAAGUUGUCUCUGGGAGCUGUUAUGCUGUAGCUCUAGCUUUGUGGAUUCUAUGAAAGAUGAAAUGCGAAUACUCUAUGCAGGACUGAGGUUUUUGAGAAGCAUUUUAAGGGAGCAGCAGGAGAAGAUGGAUGAGCAAAACGAAAAAAUUGGUGCUCUUCUUAGUGAGGCAAGCAUUAUAAUUUCCUCGCCUUCUCUAAACAGAGUGAAGGAAGGAGAAGUUAGCUUCUCAGAAUCCACAGAGGCCCUUGACUGUUAUGAUAUGCUGGCUAAUACCAACAUCCAUAUCAAUCAAUUUAAGGAUCAGAUCAGUGGCUCAAGCAUUAUUGAAAGUCUUCCUUCCUUUCAUAGCUUAAGAGGACCAGAAGUUAGCAAGACUUCCAGCCACAUGCUAUCAAAAGGUAAAAUGCCAAUAGCCCAGGAAGUCAUAGUUGGUCUUGAUGAUGAGGCAGCAAAAGUAAUUGAACGACUUAUAUGGGGACCAAAACAGGUGGAAAUUGUUCCCAUUGUGGGAAUGGCUGGGGUUGGUAAGACAACUUUAGCCAAAAAAGUUUACAAUGAUAGUUCAGUAAUCUGUAACUUCCACAUACGUCUUUGGUGCACUGUUUCUCAAGAAUUUAACAUGAAAAGCUUGCUAAUACAAAUUUUGUGCUCUGAUGGAAAACAGUCUAGGAUGGAUGAAGAGCUUAAAAACUUGAAUGAACAUGAAUUGCUUCAUAAGCUCUAUCAAAGGCUGAAGAUGAAGAGGUAUCUUGUUGUUUUUGAUGAUGUCUGGGGCUUUAGGGAAUGGAAUGAGAUGAGAUAUUCAUUCCCAGAUGACAAAAACAGGAGUAGAAUCCUCUUUACAAGUCGAUCUUCUAAUGUAGCUUCACAGGUUCAAUAUGGUGGAGAACCUCACUAUCUUCACCCACUCAAUGAGAAAGAAAGUUUUGAAUUACUGCAGAAGAAGGUUUUUGGAAAAGAAGAUUGUCCUCAAGCAUUGCAUGGAUUGGGAAUGGAGAUAGCCGAAAAGUGCAAGGGAUUGCCACUUGCACUUGUUGUUGUAGCUGGAGUCCUAGCAACUAUAGAGCAUGAUAUUUGUGUUUGGGAAGAAUUUGCUGAAAGUUUAACUUCAACCACGCUUUCUGAUGCAGAACAAUGCAAAAAGUCGUUGGAGCUCAGUUAUGAGCAUUUACCAUAUCACUUGAAGGCAUGCUUGCUGUAUUUUGCUGCAUUUCGGGAGGAUGAAAAAAUUGCUGCCAAGAAGUUGAUGUGUCUCUGGAUUGCAGAAGAGUUUGUGGAAAAAAUUGAAGGAGAGAGAUCAGAGGAUAUUGCAGAAGAAUAUCUGAUGGACCUAAUUCAUCGAAACUUAGUUAUGGUAAGUAAAAACAGAUCCAUUGGUGGAGUCAAAACUUGUUACAUUCAUGAUUUGAUAUUAGAGUUCUGUAAGACUGAGGCGAAAGAAAAGAAAUUUCUUCAGGUCUUGCGAGGAUAUGAUGAGCUUUCUACCUUUAAUGAGCCUCCCAACCUACCUCGGUUGUCCAUUUGCUGCAGUGAAGAAGAUUUUGUGAAGUCAAAACUAUUUUGUCCAGAUUUAGAUACUCUGCUAUUCUUCAAUGCUACUCCAGGAUUUAAGUUUGGGUUGCUUAAUAUCUCCUUUUUUUGCAUCUACCAACAUCUUAAAGUUUUGAAUUUAGAGGACAUUAACCUAAUGUUGAAGGAGCUUACAACUGAAGUCGAAUCACUUCUUCGUUUGAGGUACUUAGCCCUUCGUACAGCUCAGUCCAUGGGAUUCAUUUCACCAUCUAUAGCCAAGCUCUCACAUUUGGAAACCUUCCGUCUAAAUUCUCACCGGACGGUAUCAUUGCCAGAUAGCAUCUGGGACAUGAAGAAGUUGAGGCAUGUACAUUUAAGGCAGGGUAUCGUUGUUCCUUUCUCUUCCAACGACAACGUUGUUGAAAACCUCUCCACUUUACCCAAUUUAGAUACACUCUCUAGACUGCAUCUUUAUCUUGAUCAAGAGGGAGAGAACUUAUUGAGAAGGAUUCCCAACGUUCGCCGACUUAAAAUUUUCAAUUGUGGCCGACCAAACAGAGUAUGCUGCAACAUGAGUCGACUAGAAUGUCUAGAAUCACUCACCUUGGGGGGCUACAAGUUCUCAGGUUCGCGGGAACAUGUUGAGCUUUCUUUUCCCAUGAAUUUGAAGAAGUUGAGUCUUGGCGGUCUGGGUCUUCCCUGUAGAAAAAUGUCAUUGAUUGAACAACUACCCAAUCUUGAAGUCCUCAAAUUAAGAAGGUGGUCAAUGGACGGCCAAAGAUGGGAACUGAUGGAAGGAGGAUUCCCAAAACUCAAGGUCUUGACUUUGCAAUCUGUAGUGAUUGUUGAGUGGAUAGAGACAGACCCUGACAGUGUUGAUUACUUGCCGUGCCUUCAGCAAUUAAUACUCAACGAAAUUUCUAAUUUGGAAAUGAUGCCUUCUUGUUUAGGGCGUAUAUCAACUCUUGAAACAAUUGAAGUGCUAUAUUGCGGAGAUGGUGUCAAAUCUUUGACACGGGAAAUUGAAGAAGCACAUAAAAAUUAUGGAAAUGAGAAGCUGAAGAUCAUCAUCAUAGAUUGAAGGGAGGGCAUCAGCUGGUGCGAUAUCUGGGAGUGCUACGGUAAUUUUUCCUCUUGAGAUUGUAAAAGUUAAAAGGAUUCGAUGACUCUUUCCUUGUCAAGCUAUGGUGGAAACAAUCAAUGAGAUUUGUACACCGUGCACCAUUUUAUCAAUAUGCACGGCAGCAUAAAGGUUUAAGGUAAAAAUUGCAAUUGGGGGUCGCAAAAGGCAUUACGUGGCUUGAUCAGGAUAGAAUAGUACUCCAUCGAAGAAUUGGUUGAAGAUGUAUGCUCAAUCUUAGGUUUGGAUUUAGGAUAUCCGACUUUGAGAUUUGCUAAAUUUUCAGAAUCAAGUUGGAGUAUUUUUGCAAAGGAUGUCUACAACUUGGUUUUAUGCUGCUUGAGCAAAUUGCUUGGAAAGGGCAUCAGUAAAAUAAUUGAUUCUCCAAAGAGCUUUAAAGGUGAUAUGAUUGUUUCAAUAUUUAAUCUUCUAUUUUUGAAUUCCACACCAUAUGUUUUAGAUGAUAUAUGGAGCCAGGGGAUAAAAUAUACAAAUUA